rnacentral:rRNA from 1 species
GACGAACCGUGCGAACGUUAUUCGGAAUCACUGGGCUUAAAGGGCGCGUAGGCGGUCCGCUAAGUUGGAUGUGAAAACUCUGGGCUUAACCCAGAGCCUGCAUUCAAAACUGACGGGCUAGAGUUCUGGAGGGGGUAGCGGAAUUCCUGGUGUAGCGGUGAAAUGCGUAGAUAUCAGGAGGAACACCGGUGGCGAAGGCGGCUACCUGGACAGAAACUGACGCUGAGGCGCGAAAGCUAGGGGAGCAAACAGG